GCUUAUACUCGACCGUCAGCGGCAGGUGCGAUCGCGCGAGCUUUCACGAGCGAGCGCGGUCACGAAGCCCUGACGAGUAGGAGGGUCGCGGCGGUGAGCGCAGAAGGGCUGGCCGCGAGGCCGUCUGGAGCCGCCGUCGGUGCAGAUCUUGGUGGUAGUAGCAAAUACUCCAGCGAGGCCCUGGAGGACUGACGUGGAGAAGGGUUUCGUGUGAACAGCCGUUGCACACGAGUCAGUCGAUCCUAAGCCCUAGGCGAAAGCCGAUGUCGAUGCGGUGUAGUUUUUACGAUAAACAAUGUUUGUAUACACACACACACACACAAAAUUCGAGUUCGACUACGACUAACUACUGCGACGAUUACGACGACGAAACAAACGUUAAUUCGUCGUCGUUUAACGUCUAGUUUAGUCUAGUCUCGUCGAAUCAUCGUCGUCGUCGUCGUGUAUGUAACACAGAUAACGAAAGAGCACACACCCGUCGGGCGAAAGGGAAUCCGGUUCCUAUUCCGGAACCUGGCAGCGGAACCGUCAAA
rnacentral:rRNA from 1 species